rnacentral:lncRNA from 1 species
CUGGGUGUCAAAUCUGGUCUUUGGCACACUUUAUUAGUUUCAAACUAAAAGUUCUAUGACUUUUAUUUCUUCACUACCUAAGCACAUUUUCAGGCAUAUUGUACCAGUUCAGAGGUCUUCUCAGUCUGACUCUGGCUUCCUGUGUGCCUGCAGCUAGCUGUUCUCUACCACAAGGGUCAAGUCUUAAAGAUUCAAGCUGUCAGCAGGAGAGACCGACCUGACAGGAAAUGGCAGCCUGGCCAUACCUCCAGACAUUCGCUACAGGCUUUUCACAGUGGCUGGACCAAGAAACUGCAGACUUCACACGCUGUGAGUGCCCAGACCUGUGCCAGAGACCCGCUCUCAGCCUGGAAAUCCAACCUUCCUUUUCCUGUCUAGAUAUCAGUAGUCAGCUCACUAUUAAGCCAACGAGAGAGAGAGAGAGAGAGAGAGAGAGAGAGAGAGAGAGAGAGAGAUGUUUACAAAAUUGUUGGGAGCUAUUAAGACAACUCUUGAUCUCUGAAUUGGACCUCUCCCCCUGAGAAGAAAAGGGGGUCAAAAGCGGGCCACCGACACAUGGAUUCUGAGAACUACCACGGGAUGUUCCAGCCCUAAGUCAUCGCAGAUGUCCUGACCACACCCUGAUACCACCAAGUUCCUGCUUCCCCUUGUAACUGCCUAAGAAUGUGCAAUUCUAUUGCCCCCCUCCCACUGAUAAGUACUUCUCCUUUUGCUUGUAUUGCUCUACCCCUCCCACUGAUAAGUAUCUGUACUUCCCCUUUUGCUUGUGCAUUUAAACCUCGGGCCUGA